rnacentral:rRNA from 1 species
CAUGCAGUCGAACGAUGAAGCCGGAGCUUGCUCUGGUGGAUUAGUGGCGAACGGGUGAGUAACACGUGAGUAACCUGCCCUUGACUCUGGAAUAAGCGUUGGAAACGACGUCUAAUACCGGAUACGAGCUUCAGCCGCAUGGCUAGGAGCUGGAAAGAAUUUCGGUCAAGGAUGGACUCGCGGCCUAUCAGGUAGUUGGUGAGGUAAUGGCUCACCAAGCCUACGACGGGUAGCCGGCCUGAGAGGGUGACCGGCCACACUGGAACUGAGACACGGUCCAGACUCCUACGGGAGGCAGCAGUGGGGAAUAUUGCACAAUGGGCGCAAGCCUGAUGCAGCAACGCCGCGUGAGGGACGACGGCCUUCGGGUUGUAAACCUCUUUUAGUAGGGAAGAAG